UGGCACAGUUACUGGAGCUAUCUGAAUUUCUAUGGAUAUCUCUACCCAGCAUUUAAUUCUGUGGUUAAGGGAGUGUCGGCUGCUGGGUGGAUUCCUAAGCACAGUUUUACACACUCACCAGUUUUGGCUAGGAGCUUGUACUCAGUACUGUGCAUUACUGGCCUGGAUUUGCCAUAUCCUGAGCGUGCCAAAGUACUGAUGUUCAGCUCUGAGUUGGCUGGAGCAAGGGCUGAAGGUAUUAUUUACAGUGGUAUGGAAGGGCAGGCAGCAAAUUCUUAAUCCAUGCCAAACAGUUUACGGGAGAUCUGGGACAGCACACACAGUAUGGAUGGGAAGCCUAGGUAACUAAUACAAUAAGGGACUUUGGAGAGAUUAUUCUUAAUGGUUUGCACCGUUGGUCAUUCUGUUGAAGAUCUUCAUUUGGAAGGAACUGAUGGAAGGGCAACACUGGCUGAAAUGCUUUCUUUCCUAAUCAUACCUACCCAUCUGCCCAACACUGUAUGGCUCUCUCAUGACAGAACUGUCUUACAGACCUACUUGCUCCUAUCUGUUUGUACUUCAUUUUUUGCUUUCUGUGCAGAUUUGUGUCCUGCCUGAUGUGAU
rnacentral:lncRNA from 1 species